rnacentral:rRNA from 1 species
CUCCGGUUGAUCCUGCCGGACCCGACUGCUAUCAGAGUGGGACUAAGCCAUGCGAGUCAACAUAGCAAUAUGUGGCAUACGGCUCAGUAACACGUAGUCAACAUGCCCAGGGGACGUGGAUAACCUCGGGAAACUGAGGAUAAACCGCGAUAAGUCACUACUUCUGGAAUGGGUAAUGACUCAAAUCUACAUGGCCCCUGGAUUGGACUGCGGCCGAUCAGGCUGUUGGUGAGGUAAUGGCCCACCAAACCUGUAACCGGUACGGGCUCUGAGAGGAGGAGCCCGGAGAUGGGCACUGAGACAAGGGCCCAGGCCCUAUGGGGCGCAGCAGGCGCGAAACCUCUGCAAUAGGCGAAAGCCUGACAGGGUUACUCUGAGUGAUUUCCGUUAAGGAGAUCUUUUGGCACCUCUAAAAAUGGUGCAGAAUAAGGGGUGGGCAAGUCUGGUGUCAGCCGCCGCGGUAAUACCAGCACCCCGAGUGGUCGGGACGUUUAUUGGGCCUAAAGCAUCCGUAGCCGGUUCUACAAGUCUUCCGUUAAAUCCACCUGCUUAACAGAUGGGCUGCGGAAGAUACUAUAGAGCUAGGAGGCGGGAGAGGCAAGCGGUACUCGAUGGGUAGGGGUAAAAUCCGUUGAUCCAUUGAAGACCACCAGUGGCGAAGGCGGCUUGCCAGAACGCGCUCGACGGUGAGGGAUGAAAGCUGGGGGAGCAAACCGGAUUAGAUACCCGGGUAGUCCCAGCUGUAAACGAUGCAGACUCGGUGAUGAGUUGGCUUCUUGCCAACUCAGUGCCGCAGGGAAGCCGUUAAGUUUGCCGCCUGGGGAGUACGGUCGCAAGACUGAAACUUAAAGGAAUAAGCGGGGGAGCA